rnacentral:rRNA from 1 species
CWUUMCCRAYYMUACUAUACUGCAGUCGAGCGGAUGAUGAAGAAGCUUGCUUCUUCUGAUUUUAGCGGCGGACSGGUGAGUAACACGUGGGCAACCUACCUUGUAGAUUGGGAUAACUCCGGGAAACCGGGGCUAAUACCGAAUAAACCAUUUUGCUUCAUGGCAAGAUGUUGAAAGGCGGCUUCGGCUGUCACUACUAGAUGGGCCCGCGGCGUAUUAGCUAGUUGGUAGGGUAAUGGCCUACCAAGGCGACGAUACGUAGCCGACCUGAGAGGGUGAUCGGCCACACUGGGACUGAGACACGGCCCAGACUCCUACGGGAGGCAGCAGUAGGGAAUCUUCCACAAUGGACGAAAGUCUGAUGGAGCAACGCCGCGUGAGUGAAGAAGGUUUUCGGAUCGUAAAACUCUGUUGUAAGGGAAGAACACGUACGAGAGUAACUGCUCGUACCUUGACGGUACCUUAUUAGAAAGCCACGGCUAACUACGUGCCAGCAGCCGCGGUAAUACGUAGGUGGCAAGCGUUGUCCGGAAUUAUUGGGCGUAAAGCGCGCGCAGGCGGUUCUUUAAGUCUGAUGUGAAAGCCCACGGCUCAACCGUGGAGGGUCAUUGGAAACUGGAGAACUUGAGUACAGAAGAGGAAAGCGGAAUUCCACGUGUAGCGGUGAAAUGCGUAGAGAUGUGGAGGAACACCAGUGGCGAAGGCGGCUUUCUGGUCUGUAACUGACGCUGAGGCGCGAAAGCGUGGGGAGCAAACAGAUUAGAUACCCUGGUAGUCCACGCCGUAAACGAUGAGUGCUAAGUGUUAGGGGUUUCCGCCCCUUAGUGCUGCAGCUAACGCAUUAAGCACUCCGCCUGGGGAGUACGACGCAAGUUUGAAACUCAAAGGAAUUGACAGGGCCCGCACAGCCGGUKGGAGCAUGGUGGUUUAAAUUCGAARCCAACGCSCGGARGAAAAC